rnacentral:rRNA from 1 species
AGCAGCCGCGGUAAUUCCAGCUCCAAUAGCGUAUAUUAAAGUUGUUGCAGUUAAAAAAGCUCGUAGUUGAAUUUCGGGGUUAGUAGGUUGGUCGUGCCUAUGGUAUGUACUGGCUUUACUGAUUCCUCCUUCUUGAAGAACUGUAAUGUCAUUAAUCUGGUGUUGCAGGGACACAGGACUGUUACUUUGAAAAAAUUAGAGUGUUUAAAGCAGGCUAACGCUUGAAUACAUUAGCAUGGAAUAAUGAAAUAGGACGUUUGAUCCUAUUUUGUUGGUUUUCUAGGAUCAACGUAAUGAUUAAUAGGGAUAGUUGGGGGCGAUUAGUAUUCAAUUGUCAGAGGUGAAAUUCUUGGAUUUAUUGAAGACUAACUACUGCGAAAGCAUUUGCCAAGGAUGUUUUCAUUAAUCAAGAACGAAAGUUAGGGGAUCGAAGACGAUCAGAUACCGUCGUAGUCUUAACCAUAAACUAUGCCGACUAGGGAUCGGAUGAUGUUAAUUUUUUAACUUGUACUCAUUCGGU